rfam:Ferroplasma sp. Type II genomic scaffold AMDT4_FER2S00022, whole genome shotgun sequence.
AGCUCCGUGGUGUAGUGGACAAGCAUUCCGGACUUUGGAUCCGAUGACGGCAGUUCGAAUCUGCCCGGAGCUG